rnacentral:rRNA from 1 species
UACGUAGGGUGCAGGCGUUAAUCGGAAUUACUGGGCGUAAAGCGUGCGCAGGCGGUUUGCUAAGACAGGUGUGAAAUCCCCGGGCUUAACCUGGGAACUGCGCUUGUAACUAGCAGGCUAGAGUGUGGCAGAGGGGGGUGGAAUUCCAGGUGUAACAGUGAAAUGCGUAGAUAUCUGGAGGAACACCGAUGGCGAAGGCAGCCCCCUGGGCUAACACUGACGCUCAUGCACGAAAGCGUGGGGAGCAAACAGG